rnacentral:tRNA from 2 species
GUGCUUGUAACUCAACUUGGAUAGAGUAUUAAAUUACGAAUUUAAAAGUUGAAAGUUCGAAUCUUUCCAAGCACU